rnacentral:rRNA from 1 species
CCUACGGGAGGCUGCAGUGGGGAAUAUUGCACAAUGGGGGAAACCCUGAUGCAGCGACGCCGCGUGAGUGAAGAAGUAAUUCGUUAUGUAAAGCUCUAUCAGCAGGGAAGCAAAUGACGGUACCUGACUAAGAAGCCCCGGCUAACGACGUGCCAGCAGCCGCGGUAAUACGUAGGGGGCAAGCGUUAUCCGGAUUUACUGGGUGUAAAGGGAGCGUAGACGGCAGUGCAAGUCUGGAGUGAAAGGCGGGGGCUCAACCCCCGGCCUGCUGUGGAAACUGUACGGCUGGAGUGCAGGAGAGGUAAGUGGAAUGCCGGGUGUAGCGGUGAAAUGCGUAGAUAUAAGGAAGAACACCAGUGGCGAAGGCGGCUUACUGGACUGUAACUGACGCUGAGGCUCGAAAGCGUGGGGAGCAAACAGGAUUAGAUACCCUAGUAGUC